GUUCUGUUAUCUUUCAACUUUGUCCUAAUGCAAGGUAUACUAAUUGUGGUCUGCUCAAAAUUUAAUCAUGAAGGGGUUUCAGAAUACACUUCUGAUGUCAUCCGAUUCAUACUAAGACUUCAGAAUUAAAAUUUCCUGGCUUUAUGAAGGGUGGAGAGAGGAUCAGGGAAGAGGGUGGGCAUAAAUUGAAGAAAUUUUCUCAAUAUGCUGCUGUCUUCUCUUCUGCUGCUGUGGCUCUAACCAUGACUGAGAGGUUGCCCUCACAGAGUUGGACAUCAAGCUUCUUAUUACAAGGACUUUGACUCUCCUACAGUGUGCCUGUGGAAUGAAUUACUCAGCACAGCAAGGCAAAAAAGGACACUUCGAAGUUAAUUUUGAAUUCUAGAGCUAUCCAAUACUGCAUGCAAAUGGAAAUCUCAGAACACAAAGGAACUGACUUGUAGUCCCCAAAAUGCACAGCUCAGAAAUACUAGUUUAUUGUCAAAAUGAUUUGCAAAUAAAUCUUAUUUUUAACUUCUUUCUGACA